ensembl:lncRNA
GCUGUGGGUACCCAUCGUGGGAUUCACGGGGCGGGACCCCCACUUCCGCCACCGUCGGCCCUCUGCUGGGGCUGCUCUUGUGCGGGGUGUGAAAAUCCAUUUCGUUUGCCAAAGGGAGAAACUCCAUUUGGACCGCCUGCCCCCAGCAAGAGAAUGGAGAAACCAGAAAGGCGGUGCUAGGCUUGCUUCACGCCUGGAUGAACCGAGGACCGGGCUGAGCUGGGAGCCCCACGUUCUGAGCAGGGAGGGCAGGUGCAGGACAACGUGUCCCCUGCUCAAGUUAGAAUCGGUUAAGCAAAGCCAGGCAGACUCUGGAAUAGCCAGGAUCAGAGCUUAUUUCCCACCUGGCCUGACUUCACUGUGGUUCAGUUGCUAACUUGUGUCUGACUCUGACCCCAUGGACUGCAGCAUGCCAGGCUUCCUUGUCCUUCACUAUGUCCUGGAGUUUGCUCAAACUCAUGUCCGUUGACUCAGUAGUGCCACCCAACCAUCUCAUCCUCUGCUGUGCGCCUUUCCUGCUCAGUCUUUUUCGGCAUCAGGGCCUUUUCCAGUGAGUUGGCUCUUCACAUCUGGUGGCCGAAGGAUUGCAGCUUCAGCUUCAGCAUCAGUCCUUCCAAUGAAUAUUUAGGGCUGAUUUCUUUUAGAAUUGACCGGUUUGAUCUCUUUGCUGUCCAAGGGACUCUCAAGAGUCUUCUCCAACACUGCAGUUCAAAAGCAUCAAUUCAUCAGUGCCCAGCCGUCAUUAUGUGAGCUGUCCAACUCCCACAUCCGUACACGACUACUGGAAAAACCAUAGCUUUGACUAUACGGACCUUUUUUGCCAAAGUGGCGUCUCUGCUUUUUAAUCACUGUCUAGGUUAUGGCCGCCCACUCCAGUGUUCUUGCCUGGAGAAUCCCAGGCACGGCGGAGCCUGGUGGGCUGCUGUCUAUGGGGCCCACAGAGUCGGACACGACUGAAGGGACUUAGCAGCAGCAGCAGGUUGGUCAACGUCAUGCCUUCUGCCGCCAUCUGCAGUGAUUUUGGAGCCCAAGAAAAUGAAAUCUGCCACUGUUUCUAUUGCUUCCCCAUCUAUUUGCCCUGAAGUGAUGGGAGCGGAUGCCACGAUCUUGGUUUUUUUGAGUGUUGACUUUUAAGCCAGCUUUUCCACUCUCCUCUUCCACCCUCAUCAAGAGGCUGGGCCAACUCAGAGCCAUGGUUUUCCUGUGCUGCUGCUGCACCCCUGCCCACUGGCUCUCAAGGGUCAAAGGGGGUCCUGGGCAUCUCACCAGCCACACGAGGCACUCGAGGACCAGCAGAGCACUGGGCCCCUGCUGGGAUGGCCCUGAGUACAGUGGACCCCGCCGUUUCCUCCCAGACCUCGGGCGAAGUCACUUUAAGGAGGCUGGAGGGUGGUGUCUGUGAGCCAGAUCCUGUCUUCCCCGUUCAACAACUGUGGGAACGCCAGCGGGCGACCUCCCUCUGUGUGUCCUUGUGUGAAGAAUGAGGGUGAUGAUUCUUUCGCCUUGUGUGAGAAGCCUUCUGAGAUGGAUUUCCCAGGAGAGCUCUAGGUUCAAGCCUGAGAUCGGCCUGUGUGUCACUUGGCCAAGUCUUGUCUGUCUGUGUCGGCAUCUUAGAGCUGGGCUGCAGUUUGAUCUAUUUUGUCCAGCACGCUAAGCCAGCACAGUAAAGCCGGGCACCUUGUGCAACAGGGCAGGUCUGUCUGCCUUUGCUCACGUCUUCUGCAUAUGGAUGAAACCCAGCAGCCCUCUGUGGCAAGGAACGAGGAGCCUGGAGUGCCACCCCUGUGCGUGCCCCCACCAUCUGGGACUCCUUUUUCCUAUCCUAACAACCUGCUUCUGCUGCUAAGCCGCUUCAGUCGUGUCCGACUCUGUGCGACCCCAUAGACGGCAGCCCACCAGGCUCCCCCGUCCCUGGGAUUGAUUGUCCAGGCAAGAACACUGGAGUGGGUUGCCAUUUCCUUC